GGCACACCGCUUUGUGUCCAUCCCCCUUCAGGACUCAGCCUCCUCGCUGGCAUAUCGCCCGUUGGUAGUAGAUAUCGUCUCCUUUAGGCUUUCCCUUUCAAGCUUCCUCUCAAAGGUUUUUAAAACGCGUCUGCUAAGGUGAGGUUUCAACACCUUUAUAAAGAACAAUUCUUUCUCCUCUCCAACCGAGGUGGACACCGGAAAUCUCUCUCUUGGAGUGCAUCUAAAUCAAAUAAGAGAAAUAACUGAUUCAUCUUGCUGUUUGCGCGAUUCAUUAUGUACUGUCUAGAUUUUGCUCUCAGUUUUGUUUAUUUCUUGUCUUCCAUUAAUGAAAUGAUCAAGCACACAGUUGUCGUAUCUUCAGUACUUCAUAUUUAUACAUUGUUCAAGUAAAUAUACAAGAAACAUGCAGAUUAGUACCCAUCAUCAUCUUCCCAUUCUAGCAGAAAGAAAUCAUUUACAAGAAAAGAUAGCUAAAUAAAGCAUAGUUGCAUGGUUUCCAAUCCUCAUGGCAGAUCAGCAAGGAGAGAACGAGGUAGCAAUGAGAUCAGAUACCGCUCAAUUCUAUUGGUGAGUUUGGAUGAAUUCUGGAAGGGUGAACAUUGCAGUAAAAAAGAAAAAAAAAACAUGUUUCAUAGGAAAUUAAGGUUGACUUUUGCCGUGUCGGAACCAUUCAUAUGAGCCGAACGAUAAAGUAACAAUGUUAAAGAAGAGAGACAUGUCCCAUAUGAACCAAACGAUGAAGUGACGAUGCCAACAAUAAGAAACAUGUCUCAUAUGAACCAAACGAUGAAGUGACAAUGUUAAAGGAAAGAGAUGUGUCUCACAAUGCUGUCAAUGUUAAAAGGAAGAGACACAUUCGAUAUGAACCAAACGAUGAAUUGACAAUCUUAAACGAAAGAGAUGAAUUGCGUAUGAACAAAACAAUGAAGGGACAAUGUUAAAGGGAAGAGAUGUAUCCCAUAUGAACCAGACGAACGAACGAUGAAGUAAUAAUGUGAUAGGGAGGAGACACAGCCCUCUUUCGAGCUAAACGAACGAUCAAGUGAUAAGCGAUACAAAGCUACUCCUAACUAUAUCAACGAGAAUUUUAUUGUUUCUGCUAGGUUUCAGAAAUGAUUAUAAUCCGUCUUUUUCAUAA